AAUGAUAGACAUUUCUAGAUGGUUGAUUGUAUUCUAUUGUUUACUCAAAAAAAUACUAAAUAAGGACGGUAAUAUUGAUUAUCGAAGUAGUUCGUGAUUACAAUUUCUUUGGUGAAAACAACAUUUAUUUUUGUUAGUAGUUUAACUAGUUCAACGAAUAUAAUGGCAAGGGGAACCAAAUAAAAGUCGAAUAUUACUUUCAGCGCAAUAUAAUCAUUUCUUUGUACCUAAACACAAGAGACGUAUCUCCGUACUACCAGCUACACAGCGUAAACAUUCUCUGACCGACAACUGCCGCUUAUAGCUACCGUAAUUCCAUAAUACUUUCACGACUAAACGUAA